rnacentral:misc_RNA from 1 species
AAGUCGUAACAAGGUUUCCGUAGGUGAACCUGCGGAAGGAUCAUUACAACUAACGUGAAAUCCACAACCUACCGUCUUCUCGUGAACAUUGCAUGAGCCGUUUGCGGUCGUUGAGGUUGUUCUGCCCAGGCGAUGUAUAGGGAACCCGAUGAGUGUCGGGAGGUUCCCGAGUCCGGACAGUGCGUACUCUUCCAUUGGAGGAGGCCUCUGACUGCAAACGCGUGUUUCCCCUCCCCACUCUUAUAAAUUAUCACCUUGUACCUUUUUCUACUAGAACUGACCUCUCCAGGAGGGCGCCCUCUCGUUAGAGAAGGCCCUUCUUGCAAGACUAUACGUAAAGAGAAAGAACAACUCUUAACAACGGAUAUCUUGGCUCUC